AGGGGAGCGCCAGAGUUGGAGAGCUGGGGCGGUCUGUAAAACCGUUGCUUUCGAGCUGAGUGGGUUCGACUCCCACCUCCCCUACCA
rnacentral:tRNA from 3 species